GACGAACUGUGCAAACGUUAUUCGGAAUCACUGGGCUUGAAGAGUGCGUAGGCGGUUUCGUAAGUAGGGUGUGAAAGCCCCCGGCUCAACCGGGGAAUUGCGCCCUAAACUGCGAGGCUGGAGUGAGGUAGGGGUGUGUGGAACUUCCAGUGGAGCGGUGAAAUGCGUAGAGAUCGGGAGGAACAUCCAUGGCGAAGGCAGCUACCUGGACCAACACUGACACUGAGGCACGAAAGCGUGGGGAGCAAACAGG
rnacentral:rRNA from 1 species